rnacentral:rRNA from 1 species
CGGGAAUACUGCAAAGCUAGGGAGUGGGAGAGGUAGACGGUACUCCGUAGGAAGGGGUAAAAUCCUUUGAUCUAUGGAUGACCACCUGUGGCGAAGGCGGUCUACCAGAACACGUCUGACGGUGAGGGAUGAAAGCUGGGGGAGCAAACCGGAUUAGAUACCCGGGUAGUCCCAGCUGUAAACUAUGCAAACUCAGUGAUGCAUUGGCUUGUGGCCAGUGCAGUGCCGCAGGGAAGCCGUUAAGUUUGCCGCCUGGGAAGUACGUACGCAAGUAUGAAACUUAAAGGAAUUGGCGGGGGAGCACCACAAGGGGUGAAGCCUGCGGUUCAAUUGGAGUCAACGCCAGAAAUCUUACCCGGAGAGACAGCAGGAUGAAGGUCAAGUUGAAGCCUUUACCAGACAAGCUGAGAAGUGGUGCAUGGCCGUCGCCAGCUCGUGCCG